rnacentral:tRNA from 1 species
GCGUACGUGGCGGAAUUGGUAGACGCGUUAGGUUGAGGGCCUAAUAACUUAAUAAGUUGUGGAAGUUCGAGUCUUCUCGUACGCACAA